GACGAACGCUGGCGGCGUGCUUAACACAUGCAAGUCGAACGAUGAAGCCGGAGCUUGCUCUGGUGAAUUAGUGGCGAACGGGUGAGUAACACGUGAGUAACCUGCCCUUGACUCUGGGAUAACUGCGAGAAACUGUAGCUAAUACCGGAUACGACCCUCGGCGGCAUCGCCAGGGGGUGGAAAGAAUUUCGGUCGAAGGAUGGACUCGCGGCCUAUCAGCUAGUUUGUGAGGUAACGGCGCACCAAGGCGACGACGGGUAGCCGGCCUGAGAGGGUGACCGUCCACCCUGGGACUGAGACACGGCCCAGACUCCUACGGGAGGCAGCAGUGGGGAAUAUUGCACAAUGGGCGCAAGCCUGAUGCAGCAACGCCGCGUGAGGGAUGACGGCCUUCGGGUUGUAAACCUCUUUUAGUAGGGAAGAAGCGAAAGUGACGGUACCUGCAGAAAAAGCACCGGCUAACUACGUGCCAGCCGCCGCAGUAA
rnacentral:rRNA from 1 species